rnacentral:rRNA from 1 species
UACGUAGGGGGCAAGCGUUAUCCGGAUUUACUGGGUGUAAAGGGAGCGUAGACGGUGAUGCAAGUCAGAAGUGAAAUCCAUGGGCUUAACCCAUGAACUGCUUUUGAAACUGCAGAGCUUGAGUGGAGUAGAGGUAGGCGGAAUUCCCGGUGUAGCGGUGAAAUGCGUAGAGAUCGGGAGGAACACCAGUGGCGAAAGCGGCCUGCUGGGCUCUAACUGACGCUGAGGCACGAAAGCGUGGGUAGCAAACAGG